rnacentral:rRNA from 1 species
GCACGGGUGAGUAACGCGUGGGAACCUGCCUCUUGGUUUGGAAUAACCGCGGGAAACUGCGGCUAAUACCGGAUACGUCGGUUAUCUGUGGUGGGUAGCUGGGAAAGAUUUAUCGCCGAGAGAGGGGCCCGCGUCUGAUUAGGUAGUUGGUGAGGUAACGGCUCACCAAGCCUUCGAUCGGUAGCUGGUCUGAGAGGAUGAUCAGCCACACUGGGACUGAGACACGGCCCAGACUCCUACGGGAGGCAGCAGUGGGGAAUAUUGGACAAUGGGCGCAAGCCUGAACCAGCCAUGCCGCGUGCAGGAAGACGGCCCUACGGGUUGUAAACUGCUUUUGCAGGGGAAUAAACCUCAUUACGUGUAAUGAGUUGAAUGUACUCUGAGAAUAAGGAUCGGCUAACUCCGUGCCAGCAGCCGCGGUAAUACGGAGGAUCCAAGCGUUAUCCGGAUUUAUUGGGUUUAAAGGGUGCGUAGGCGGCCUAUUAAGUCAGGGGUGAAAGACGGUAGCUUAACUAUCGCAGUGCCUUUGAUACUGAUGGGCUUGAAUGUACUAGAGGUAGGCGGAAUGUGACAAGUAGCGGUGAAAUGCAUAGAUAUGUCACAGAACACCA